rfam:Lupinus angustifolius cultivar Tanjil chromosome LG18, whole genome shotgun sequence.
AAUGGCCGAGACAAAGGAUAGCGAUCCCGCGAGGGUGAGCUAACUCCAAAAACUUGUCCUUAGUUCGGAUUAUAGGAUGCAACUCGCCUACAUAAAG